UGGCGGCGAUAGCGCGGUGGUCCCACCUGACCCCAUGCCGAACUCAGAAGUGAAACGCCGUAGCGCCGAUGGUAGUGUGGGGUCUCCCCAUGUGAGAGUAGGGAACUGCCAGGCA
rnacentral:rRNA from 37 species